CGGAGUCUAGCCGGGUAUUACAUUCUCCCCCCCUUAAGAACAUUCGUCCCCGAAUGUUCCUCAACUAACACAUGCAUAGCAAACAACAUAACAUACACACAUAAACACAUAGAGACUAACCUUAAAAGAGAUGAGGAUAUUGCCGGAGCAUAGACUCCCGUGUCUCCCAAGUGCACUCUUCCAGAUUGUGUUGGUUCCACAGGACUUUCAC
rnacentral:lncRNA from 1 species